rnacentral:rRNA from 1 species
CUCGUAGGCGGCCAACUAAGUCAGACGUGAAAUCCCUCGGCUUAACCGAGGAACUGCGUCUGAUACUGGAUGGCUUGAGUUCGGGAGAGGGAUGUGGAAUUCCAGGUGUAGCGGUGAAAUGCGUAGAUAUCUGGAGGAACACCGGUGGCGAAGGCGGCAUCCUGGACCGACACUGACGCUGAGGAGCGAAAGCCAGGGGAGCAAACGGGAUUAGAUACCCCGGUAGUCCUGGCCCUAAACGAUGAAUGCUUGGUGUGGCGGGUAUCGAUCCCUGCCGUGCCGAAGCUAACGCAUUAAGCAUUCCGCCUGGGGAGUACGGUCGCAAGGCUGAA